rnacentral:rRNA from 1 species
AAUAGAUACCCGGGUAGUCCACGCCGUAAACGAUGAGUGCUAAGUGUUAGAGGGUUUCCGCCCUUUAGUGCUGCAGCUAACGCAUUAAGCACUCCGCCUGGGGAGUACGGCCGCAAGGCUGAAACUCAAAAGAAUUGACGGGGGCCCGCACAAGCGGUGGAGCAUGUGGUUUAAUUCGAAGCAACGCGAAGAACCUUACCAGGUCUUGACAUCCUCUGCCAACCCUAGAGAUAGGGCGUUCCCCUUCGGGGGACAGAGUGACAGGUGGUGCAUGGUUGUCGUCAGCUCGUGUCGUGAGAUGUUGGGUUAAGUCCCGCAACGAGCGCAACCCUUGAUCUUAGUUGCCAGCAUUCAGUUGGGCACUCUAAGGUGACUGCCGGUGACAAACCGGAGGAAGGUGGGGAUGACGUCAAAUCAUCAUGCCCCUUAUGACCUGGGCUACACACGUGCUACAAUGGAUGGUACAAAGAGCAGCGAACCCGCGAGGGUAAGCCAAUCUCAUAAAGCCAUUCUCAGUUCGGAUUGUAGG